UUUAAUAAUAUGACAUUUAAUUCUUAUCAUAGCUAGUAUUCUCAAACAUCGUUAUCAUUCCCACCUAACAAAAAAAUUCUAAUUCUUGUUCUAGAUUUUGAGAUGGUUGUUUUUGGUCAUUUAACUGGGGGGCUUGGGUUUGAGCCAAAUGUUGGGAUGAAGAUUUUGGGAUAGCAAUUCCCUAAUUUAUUUUCUUAAGAUACUUACUAAGAGCAUAGACUGUAACGACCCAAAAUUACUAAUAAGGCUUAAGGGCCUUGAUUAGUGUGCCAGGAGGACAUAAUUGGAAGUUAUGUAAAUUAAUGGUAAAAAUGCAUGAUUAUGUGAUAUGCAUGAUCCUAUGAUUAUAUGGAUAUGUGGAAUGCAUGUUUAUGAAUAUUAGAUAAGCAUGCGGGCCCUGUUUAGUCUGUAAGGGCAUAAUUGUAAUUUUGGCCUGUUAGGGCAUAAAUGUGAUUAUUUGUGAUAAUUGUUGAGACCAUAUUAUUAUGUGGAUAUAUAUUUGCAGUCUUCGGCACGAGGUGAUCCUAGGUAGCAAGUAACGGGAAAGUCACAACAGGACCCGGUACCUGACUCGGGGCGAGCCAAGGGUUAUUUUGGGUAAUGGACAUUUAUUUAGGUUAUUGAGUUAUGAAAAUAAAUAAUUGGACAUAUAUUUGAGUUUAGGAAGCCUAGGUGGGAAUACCGGGGAAUUUUACCAUUUUUCCCUAAGGACGUUUUCGGUACCCUGAGCCUUGGGAUUAACUUAAGAGGCUUAAGUUAGAUAAGACAAAGGAAAAAAGAAAUGUUUGGAAGAAUGCCAUAACCGACUCCCUCUUUCUCUCCCCUUCUCUCAAGGAGUUCCUUCAAGCUUGCCAUGGAACCAAGGGAAUUUUGGCUAGGAACUCAGGGAUUUGAGCUGGAGUUGUGGGGAGAAUUUCUGUGGCAAUUUGAAGGUUCAACCAAGAAUUUAGAUUAAAUUGAUGCUAAAGACAUGGGAGUUAGCUCAGCUAUUUCUUGGAGGUUUGGUUCUUCAGUGAAGGUAAAGGCAAGGGUAAGAUGAGUUGACCAUGGGUUGGAGAGCUCCGAGGAUGAGAUGUACAUUGUCAGCUACUCGAUCGCCAUGGUCGAGGGUUUGUACAGAGACAGAAACCUAAAACGUGUAUUUUUCCAUUAGAGUGGCUUGAUUAUUUAUAAGAUUUGAAAAUUAUGUAAUUAUGUUGUUUAAACCAUAAUUUGGGAUCCCAUGUACCAAACAUUUAUCUAAAUGAAAAUUAUUCGUUUAUAACAAAAAUCUU